CAGCCGCCGCGGUAAUACGAAGGGUGCAAGCGUUAAUCGGAAUUAUUGGGCGUAAAGCGUGCGUAGGCGGUUUGUUAAGUCUGUUGUGAAAUCCCCGGGCUCAACCUGGGAAUUGCAGUGGAUACUGGGUCACUAGAGUGUGGUAGAGGAUAGUGGAAUUCCCGGUGUAGCGGUGAAAUGCGUAGAGAUCGGGAGGAACAUCAGUGGCGAAGGCGGCCAUCUGGGACAACACUGACGCUGAGGCACGAAAGCGUGGGAGCAAACAGGAUUAGAUACCCCGGUAGUCCCUGUCUCUUAUACA
rnacentral:rRNA from 1 species